rnacentral:tRNA from 1 species
GUUUCGAUAGUUUAACUUAAAACUUCGGUCUUGUAAACCGACAAUGAAAAAUAAUUUCUCAAAGCA